rnacentral:tRNA from 1 species
GCACUCGUAGCUCAGCUGGAUAGAGUACUCGGCUACGAACCGAGCGGUCGCAGGUUCGAAUCCUGCNNAGCUCA